CAAUAUAGGCCAAUGAACUCCCAGCAAACAAAGUGACAUGAUGAACAAUGCAGCUAGGAGCUGGCUUUAGGCUAACUUUAGCUAACGUUACAGAUGCUUAGGAAAGGGUAAAAAAUACACACUGUCGCCCAGCCUCUCAGGAUACCUUGUGUCGGAGUUGCAUGUACCCCAUGAACACUGUUUGACCAUUUUGAAACUUCAGAUCUCAGAAAAACUUCAUAAAACUGAACGAAAACUGACUUUCUGCAAUGCAUUUCAAUGGACAUCCGGGAAGAGAAUGUCCGAGUGUAUGGGAAUGGCUAUACGCACUGUGAUUGGCUCAUCGCUUUUGAGGGCAGGACUUAGCCAUAGGUCAAUU